CUUUCAUGAUGUUAUAUGACAGGAUUAGAAAUUAGGCUACCUCUAGCCUUCCAUAAGCAGGAGAACAAACCCAAUAAACUCAAGAUCCUAAAGUCAAAGUAGGUAAAAAAUAAGCAGACAAAAAAAAUAAAAAUUCAGAAGGACUUAAAAUUACUAUCAUAAUUUCAAAAACCUGUUGCUGCAGGUUUUAGCCUUUAUAAGAGGUUUGUUAUUUUUCAGGAUAUAACUUUUUUUAUUAUAAUCUUCAGGGCAGGGUACCUGUAAAAAAAAAUGGGUUUACGUAGAAUCAUAGAAUGUCCUGAGCUGGAAGGGACCCACAAGGAUCAAUGAGUCCAGCUCCUGUCCUUGCAUAUGACAAUCCCACAGUUCACACCAUGUGUCUGAGGGUGUUGUCCAGUCUCUUCUUGAACACUGUCAGGCUUGGGGCCGUGAUACCUCCCUGGGGAGCCUGUUCCAGUGUCCAGCACCCUCUGGGGGAAGAACCUUUUCCUAAUGUCCAACCUAAACCUCCCCUGGCACAUCUUCCUGUCAGUCCCUCAGGUUCUGUCAUUGGUCGCUGGAGAGAAGAGAUCCACACCUCCCCCUCCUCCUUCCCUUGUGAGAAAGCUGUAGGCCAUGAUGAGGUCUCCCCCCAGUCUCCUCCAAGCGGUGGUCUUGCAGCAAGUGCUGACAGGGCUGGAGGUGGUGGGGAAGCCCAUCAUGGGGUGGAUGGGAGAGGCCCCCGAGAGCUGCGUGGUGCUCCAGCUCACAUCUGCUCCUGCCUUGCAUGUCCCAUCGUCCAGCACGUGGCUUUUCUGCUCAUUUGCUUGUUUUGCAGGACCAAAGAGAAAGUUAGGAAGGAUAAAUGUGUUUUUUGCCAAACUCAAGACCAGAGGAAGAAAGCAGACCAAGAAGGAUUGAAAUAGAAUGUGUAAUUUACACAUCUUCAGUGCCACAAAGGCAGAAGAGACUCCUCGGGUUCAGAGGCAAUGGCAAGUCACUACUUCUGUCUCCAUAUAGCAAGAGUUAAUCUCUCCACACUCAGAGAGAGCACAUCCUCCUAAUGUGGGUGCCUCAUUGAGACUUCUAAAGUGAUGUUACAUUACUAUGAGUCAAAAAGCCAGGGAUUGAAUCUGACCAGUUCACAUAUUGUCAAGUAAAUAUAUCCUGAGACUACAUAUUAAACCAUGAAAGUAAAAUAAAUAGUGAACAGAUAGUUCCUAUAUGAGAUCUUACAUACUGCUUAUGUAACGGUGUCUACAAGCUCAUGUGUCACUGUACCGAUGACAUGAACAAAAUUCAGUAAGAGGCAUAUCUAUGGUAUAGCAUGGGAAGAUGGAGAAACCACACAAUGGGGACUGAAUCAAGGUUGCAGAGGUAGCUUUUGAAUGCUUGGCUCUAUAACCUUUGUAGCCUUAAUAAUGUAAUUUUAAUGCAUACUAUAUUUUGUUUUAUGCCUUAGAGCCUUUGGAACAGAUUCCAUCACCUGCACUGAAGGAAGCAACUCAAUAGGUCCCAACCCUGCAUGGCCUGUUGUGAUCAGCCUGUGUAGGGUUAUAUGCAUCACCCUUAGCCUUGAGAGCUGAUGACAGGGUGCAGAAAAAUUCUGUCCUCUGUUUGAUGAAAGCCUAAUUGCUCACUUUGUCAUGUUGAUCUUGUAACAUGUCUCCUGCUCCUGCUGCUUCUCAGUAAUUUUCUGCAUAGAAAUACCCUCUGUGCACUGUCACCAUUUACUCUGUGACAUGGUGAAAGUACUGUACAGGCUAUUUCUGAUAGAUCUCACUAGGGAAUGUUAUUUCUCCCUGGAGCUACUUCCAUCAGCUUCAUACUAUUUCUGUCUCCAAAGAAACAAUUCUAAGCAGCACCCUUUCUACUAACACCAAUCCUUUCCCCUCCUCCCCCUCAGAGCUGGCAGUCAUAGUUGACCGAGUGCCAAAUUAAAAUUCUAGAGGGUGACUGUCCACAGUAUUUGAUAUAUUUUAAUGCUUCAGGAUCCUUCCACUGUAAUGUCAUCCUAUACUUGAGCAAUGCAUUGCCCAGCUCCUGAAUUCCCCCAGAUUCAAUGCGUCCAGAGUCCUGAAGCAAUGCACUUGUGUUAGGGCACCUCUGUCAAUUAUAAUAUCAGUCUGCAGCAUGCUGUUGUGACUUGAUGGUCUUAGAUGACCUGAGCGAGUACAGAGAUGGUUUAACAAGCUGCCUCUUUCCCUGCAGUCCUGUGGGCCAUUUGCUUGGAGUGGUGGUAGUAGGGGGAUGGGGAGGACAACACAUUAACCUUCUCCAUGCUUUGGACAGUUUUGAACUCCAUGAGCAGGGCCACAACUCUAGUCUGAAUCUAACGUGCAGAAUUUAACACCAUUGCUUUGAAGGCCAUUUUACUUAAUUAGAAGAAUGCACCCAAAUUAUGUCCACAUCACCAGCAUCAUAUGUUACCCUCAGUUGCACCACAGAAAAGAGAAACAUCAUUAAACAUAAAUUCUCUUCUCAAAUGCUCUUCUGUCACCAGUUAUUUCAUGCAAUGUUAUCUUCCUUUCCUCCCUAUUUACCUAAUGACUUGGUGUUGUUAUUUAUACUACUUCUGUGUUGAUUUGUCCUGCCACCGUAUGUUCACUCACUUUGUUUGAUGAUAAUGAUCUUUCGCGGUAUAUGCACUUCCAUGUAUUAAUUAUUGCUGAGAUUCAGAUGUUUGUUUUUCAGAAUUAAAGCAAAUUUAUUUUUAUUUUUUAUCA